AUGAGCCAUACAAUGAAGCUAUGGGAGAGAGUCAUUGAGCACCGCUUAAGAAGAAUGACAAGCGUGACCAAAAAUCAGUUUGGUUUCAUGCCUGGGAGGUCGACCAUGGAAGCCAUUUUCUUGGUACGACAACUUAUGGAGAGAUAUAGGGAGCAUAAGAAGGACUUGCAUAUGGUGUUCAUUGACUUGGAGAAGGCCUAUGAUAAGAUACCGCGGAAUGUCAUGUGGUGGGCCUUGGAGAAACACAAAGUCCCAGCAAAGUACAUUACCCUCAUCAAGGACAUGUACAAUAAUGUUGUGACAAGUGUUCGAACAAGUGAUGUCGACACUGAUGACUUCCCGAUUAAGAUAGGACUGCAUCAGGGGUCAGCUUUGAGCCCUUAUCUUUUUGCAUUGGUGAUGGAUGAGGUCACAAGGGGUAUACAAGGAGAUAUCCCAUGGUGUAUGCUCUUUGCGGAUGAUGUGGUGCUAGGUGACGAUAGUCGGACGGGGGUAAAUAGGAAGUUAGAGUUAUGGAGACAAACCUUGGAAUCGAAAGGGUUUAGGCUUAGUAGAACUAAAACCGAGUACAUGAUGUGCGGUUUUAGUACUACUAGCUGUGAGGAGGAGGAGGUUAGCCUUGAUGGCCAGGUGGUACCUCGGAAGGACACCUUUCGGUAUUUGGGGUCAAUGUUGCAGGAGGAUGGGGGUAUUGAUGAAGAUGUGAACCAUCGAAUCAAAGCUGGAUGGAUGAAGUGGCGCCAAGCUUCUGGCAUUCUCUAUGACAAGAGAGUGCCACAAAAGCUAAAAGGCAAGUUCUACAGGACGGCGGUUCGACCCGCAAUGUUGUAUGGCGCGGAGUGUUGGCCGACUAAAAGGCGACAUGUUCAACAGUUAGGUGUGGCGGAGAUGCGUGUGUUGAGAUGGAUGUGUGGCCACACGAGGAAGGAUCGAGUCCGGAAUGAUGAUAUACGAGAUAGAGUUGGGGUAGCACCAAUUGAGGAGAAGCUUGUCCAACAUCGUUUGAGAUGGUUUGGGCAUAUUCAGCGCAGGCCUCCAGAAGCUCCAGUGCAUAGUGGACGGCUAAAGCGUGCGGAGAAUGUCAAGAGAGGGCGGGGUCGACCGAUUUUGACAUGGGAGGAGUCCGUUAAGAGAGACCUGAAGGAUUGGAGUAUCGACAAAGAGCUAGCUAUGGACAGGGGUGCGUGGAAGCUUGCUAUCCAUGUGCCAGAGCCAUGA
rnacentral:rRNA from 1 species